rnacentral:rRNA from 1 species
GGACGGGGCCCGCACAAGCAGUGGAGUAUGUGGUUUAAUUCGAAGCAACGCGAAGAACCUUACCUGGGUUUGACAUCUUGGGAAUCUUUUAGAAAUAAGAGAGUGCCCGCAAGGGGAGCCCGAAGACAGGUGCUGCAUGGCUGUCGUCAGCUCGUGUCGUGAGAUGUUGGGUUAAGUCCCGCAACGAGCGCAACCCUUAUCUUCAGUUACCAUCAUUCAGUUGGGGACUCUGGAGAUACUGCCCCGGUUAACGGGGAGGAAGGUGGGGAUGACGUCAAGUCCUCAUGGCCUUUAUAUCCAGGGCUACACACGUGCUACAAUGGUCCGUACAAAGGGUUGCAAGCCUGCGAGGGUGAGCUAAUCCCGAAAAGCGGAUCUCAGUUCGGAUUGGAGUCUGCAACUCGACUCCAUGAAGUUGGAAUCGCUAGUAAUCGUGGAUCAGCAUGCCACGGUGAAUACGUUCCCGGGCCUU